CUUGAACAAGGAGAUCAGCAGAAUCCAGCCCCAGCUGGACAGGUUGAUUAUACCAAGGCUUGGGAAGAGUACUACAAGAAAAUGGGUCAGGCAGUUCCUGCUCCGACUGGGGCUCCUCCAGGUGGUCAGCCAGAUUAUAGUGCAGCCUGGGCUGAGUAUUAUAGACAACAAGCAGCCUAUUAUGCCCAGACAAGUCCCCAGGGAAUGCCACAGCAUCCUCCAGCACCUCAGUGCUGAAGAUGCUGCAAGCACCAAAUCAUAGCUCAUAAAAUCAGGUCCUGAGAUAGUUACCCAUAAAGAGGAAUCCUUUGAGUGUAUGCCAUUGGUGAGCCGAUGAGCAUGGACCAUAGAAGGGCUCAAUGUAGAAGAAACUACCCGUGUGUAAAAAGAAGAUUGGCUUAAAAUGGCUACUGUGAUGGGAACAGUGUCUUAGGGAGAUGCAGCUUGGACUUGAGGUAAAUUGAAUACUUUACAACUGUGGUUUAGAGUUUGCUUUAAUGACAUUGUAUGUAAAAGGUCACAUGAUUGCUGUAAUUUUGUAUUCAUUAUGGUUUCCUCAAUAAAUGUACAUUGAUGAAUAUUA
rnacentral:sRNA from 1 species